rnacentral:piRNA from 3 species
UUAGCACUCUGGACUUUGAAUCC